UCAUCUUCGGGGGUAGAGCACUGUUUCGGCUAGGGGGUCAUCCCGACUUACCAACCCGAUGCAAACUACGAAUACCGAAGAAUGUUAUCACGGGAGACACACGGCGGGUGCUAACGUCCGUCGUGAAGAGGGAAACAACCCAGACCGCCAGCUAAGGUCCCAAAGUCAUGGUUAAGUGGGAAACGAUGUGGGAAGGCACAGACAGCCAGGAUGUUGGCUUAGAAGCAGCCAUCAUUUAAAGAAAGCGUAAUAGCUCACUGGUCGAGUCGGCCUGCGCGGAAGAUGUAACGGGGCUAAACCAUGCACCGAAGCUGCGGCAGCGACACUAUGUGUUGUUGGGUAGGGGAGCGUUCUGUAAGCCUGCGAAGGUGUGCUGUGAGGCAUGCUGGAGGUAUCAGAAGUGCGAAUGCUGACAUAAGUAACGAUAAAGCGGGUGAAAAGCCCGCUCGCCGGAAGACCAAGGGUUCCUGUCCAACGUUAAUCGGGGCAGGGUGAGUCGACCCCUAAGGCGAGGCCGAAAGGCGUAGUCGAUGGGAAACAGGUUAAUAUUCCUGUACUUGGUGUUACUGCGAAGGGGGGACGGAGAAGGCUAUGUUAGCCGGGCGACGGUUGUCCCGGUUUAAGCAUGUAGGCUGGUUAUCCAGGCAAAUCCGGAUAACCAAGGCUGAGGUGUGAUGACGAGGCACUACGGUGCUGAAGUAACAAAUGCCCUGCUUCCAGGAAAAGCCUCUAAGCAUCAGGUAACAUCAAAUCGUACCCCAAACCGACACAGGUGGUCAGGUAGAGAAUACCAAGGCGCUUGAGAGAACUCGGGUGAAGGAACUAGGCAAAAUGGUGCCGUAACUUCGGGAGAAGGCACGCUGGUGUGUAGGUGAAGCCCCUGCGGGUGGAGCUGAGACCAGUCGAAGAUACCAGCUGGCUGCAACUGUUUAUUAAAAACACAGCACUGUGCAAACACGAAAGUGGACGUAUACGGUGUGACGCCUGCCCGGUGCCGGAAGGUUAAUUGAUGGGGUUAUCCGUAAGGAGAAGCUCUUGAUCGAAGCCCCGGUAAACGGCGGCCGUAACUAUAACGGUCCUAAGGUAGCGAAAUUCCUUGUCGGGUAAGUUCCGACCUGCACGAAUGGCGUAAUGAUGGCCAGGCUGUCUCCACCCGAGACUCAGUGAAAUUGAACUCGCUGUGAAGAUGCAGUGUACCCGCGGCAAGACGGAAAGACCCCGUGAACCUUUACUAUAGCUUGACACUGAACAUUGAGCCUUGAUGUGUAGGAUAGGUGGGAGGCUUUGAAGCGUGGACGCCAGUCUGCGUGGAGCCAACCUUGAAAUACCACCCUUUAAUGUUUGAUGUUCUAACGUUGGCCCCUUACCGGGGUUGCGGACAGUGUCUGGUGGGUAGUUUGACUGGGGCGGUCUCCUCCCAAAGCGUAACGGAGGAGCACGAAGGUUAGCUAAUCCUGGUCGGACAUCAGGAGGUUAGUGCAAUGGCAUAAGCUAGCUUGACUGCGAGCGUGACGGCGCGAGCAGGUGCGAAAGCAGGUCAUAGUGAUCCGGUGGUUCUGAAUGGAAGGGCCAUCGCUCAACGGAUAAAAGGUACUCCGGGGAUAACAGGCUGAUACCGCCCAAGAGUUCAUAUCGACGGCGGUGUUUGGCACCUCGAUGUCGGCUCAUCACAUCCUGGGGCUGAAGUAGGUCCCAAGGGUAUGGCUGUUCGCCAUUUAAAGUGGUACGCGAGCUGGGUUUAGAACGUCGUGAGACAGUUCGGUCCCUAUCUGCCGUGGGCGCUGGAGAAUUGAGGGGGGCUGCUCCUAGUACGAGAGGACCGGAGUGGACGCAUCACUGGUGUUCGGGUUGUCAUGCCAAUGGCACUGCCCGGUAGCUAAAUGCGGAAGAGAUAAGUGCUGAAAGCAUCUAAGCACGAAACUUGCCCCGAGAUGAGUUCUCCCUGAGACUUUAAGUCUCCUGAAGGAACGUU
rnacentral:rRNA from 1 species